CCCGCAUACCCGAAUCCCACCCCGCUGGUGGUUCCUGAGGUCUCCAUGCGCAGAGCGAUGCUCCUCAAUGCUUUUCUGUAUCCUUAGCGUGAGGCUGCUGGUGGGUUCUGACUCAAGCCUUGCUGCUGUGGAGGAGAGACACAUGCACUGAUUAGACGAUGAAGAGUCAUUUGAGUGGGAGGAAACCUGAAAAACCACCACCUCGACAGGUUUAUGAGCUCCUCGAUCCAUCCCUGAGCUCCAGCUGAAACCUACAGUUCGAAAUGAGCUGUUCCUCCAGACGUCUACGUUUUUUUUGGAUCAUGAUUAUUAAAAAUUUUGUGAAAAAUUCACUGACCUUCACAGUGUUAGGUCUGCUAGCUUCAAGGGGUCGUGCCCUGUGGGCUUCACACUUGAGUUCAUUAUCGAGCACAGAUUUUAGAUCAUUUAGCAGCCACAUAAUCAGUUUGAUCUUUUGCUUUAAUAGAUAUGGCAACAAAGCAGCUUUACAGAAAUCUGGACGUAGAUCUCGUUCUUUCAAAUGAAAGUCAGAGAUGACAUAACAAGGAGGAAGAACCCUGAGAACAAAAACAGCGUCAGAAGAAAACCAGUGCUCCUUUGGGUGAAACCGGAUAGUGGGAUGAUACUGUAAUGAAGGGUUCUUGAUUUCUUCUUUGAUUGGGACACAUUCCUUGAGUGUUUUUUUUUUUCCACAAAGAAAAAUAGAGCUUUCCAGUCCAGAUUUAAUGUAUUGAUCCUACAGCUAUUCCGUAAUUCGGACAGGAGGGAAAUACCCCCUGCCCAUGAAAUCUUAAUGAAGUGCCACAUAUUAGUCUUCUGUCAUCUCUAUAUAACUUCACUACCAUGUGUCUAGAGAAACCGCUCUGCAGUGUGUCAGCAAUGAAGAAUUUCAUCAUCUGCUCUGGUUUCUCAUCACAGUUUCCUGCUCUCCUGUGAAGCUGAACUCCAACCCACAUCCAUCAUUUCCUGAUUCAGAUCAUUAAAGUGCUAUUGCAGACACUAAUUAGCGAGAUAAGGCAUGCACAUAGGAUUGGGCUGGAUCGAAACUCUGCAGGUUGCUCUCCUAGAGAACGAGAGACGCUAGGAUUGUUUUUUUUAUGGCCAGACACCACUAUUUCUUCUCAGGGUGAUGUGAUAUCUUCGAGAGAUGCAAAUGAAUAGUAGUCAUAUAGUCUACACUCAGAGCGUAAGGUCACUUGAAUAACACAUUGUGCCAAAAGAUGGAAGAAGGUCCAUAUGAGGUUGAUUUGCAGUGAAAACAACAGCGUUGAAGGUUACCAUGUUCGGUCUUCUGAUGUGUCGUCAGCAACAGCAUCCUCAACUAAUGGCCGCCUCCUAGUGGAGAGGAUAUAAAACACGUAAACAACCUGAAAGAGCUUCUCUCAUUCUGGUAGAUCUUUGGAAUUGGAGUCGAGGAAUAUCAAUAGGGUAUAGAGAGAAACCCCUAAAUGUCCAAGACGGGGGUGUAACUUCAGAACCUGGGUUGAUCGGCAACUCUUAUAUGAAAAGCUUGAAUAUCUGAGCAUCGCAAUAUUCUUGGCCUCAGUUCUCCAGGGCUGUUUUCUGUAAACACCUUGAAAAGAACGAUGGAUGCAACAUCAUGGUUAAUCAAAUCACUUUUUUUUUUUUUUCACUGUCCAGUCUCUGUGAUUUCAGAGAAAUCCAUAAGCAUUAAAUACACAAAACAGUGACUAAAACAUUUGAAGACCAGCUUCCUGUUUUCGACUGCAUCCUCGUCUGACGCAGAUCCUGUUAAACCUGCCACAUUUCAGAUCUUCUCAACAAGAGUUGCUCAUCAUCACAUGGCACCAAAACAACCAGUCAGAAGCUGAAUUUAGAGUUUAGACGAUUCUUCUGCUGCUAGUUAAAGCACUUCUCCAUGACUUGUGAGUUUUCUAAUUAAGCCUCAUGUGACUAAUAGUUUGACUGCUGGGAGAGAUGCCAGCGUACGCAACACCAUACUGCCUCGAUGAGCCGUAUAACGAGUCUUAUACCUUCAAAUGUUUAAUGCCACAGAAAUAAAAUUCCCCAAAUGUGUCCUUUAUAGUGGCCUUACAGUACAGUGCAUGGUAAAGUGCACUAAUGGGGGUCUUCUAUUGGAGAGAAUUGUAAAUGUGAGGUGGGAUAUGGACCAUGUGAGGUCUGAAAGAGGAAAUAAAUCACAGUAUGGUCAAAUUCACCGAGAGGCUGAUCUUGACAGAUUCGUUCAAUAA